UACGUAGGGGGCUAGCGUUGUCCGGAAUCAUUGGGCGUAAAGCGCGCGUAGGCGGCCCGGUAAGUCCGCUGUGAAAGUCCAGGGCUCAACCCUGGAAUGCCGGUGGAAACUGUCGAGCUAGAGUCCGGAAGAGGCGAGUGGAAUUCCUGGUGUAGCGGUGAAAUGCGCAGAUAUCAGGAGGAACACCAAUGGCGAAGGCAGCUCGCUGGGACGGUACUGACGCUGAGACGCGAAAGCGUGGGGAGCAAACAGG
rnacentral:rRNA from 1 species